AUCAUGGUUCUUCCCCUCUUGGGUCAGCUAGCAGAUGAAUAUGGGCGUAAACCACUGCUUCUGAUUACUGUUUCUACAUCCAUAGUGCCAUUUGCCAUACUUGCUUGGGAUGAUUCCAGGGCAGCUGUUUACUGGUACUUUGUACUUCGCACAAUAUCCUACAUAGUUAGUCAAGGAAGCAUAUUAUGCAUAUCGAUUGCUUAUGCAGCUGAUGUGAUUGAGGUCGGCAAGAGAUCUGCAGCAUUUGGUUGGAUUACUGGGCUUUUCUCUGCUGCACAUGUUUUGGGAAACAUCUUCGCCCGCUUUCUACCUGAAGGGUGGAUAUUUGAGGC